UACAAGUUUAACUAAUCUUUUUUUAUUGUAUUCUGCGUCUGAGCCUCGCGAAUGCAAAAGUCAAUCUUAUCAUCAUAUAUAAUCAGCAUUAAAUAUGCUGAUUUGGACGAUAUGUUUCAUAUGUACAAAUUCUUUAUCUAUCACGACUCAUAAAAACUUCAAGCCGAAGUCACUUGCAAAGAUCUACAAGUAUACAAUCAUCCUCAUUAAUCGAUAUUAUUGAUCAGUUUUCUGGAGAGUAAUCGUAAGUAUGUAAGUAGUAAUGUGGAAUUGCAGUUGUGACAAACAAUUUCAUUCGAUUACUGAAAAUGCCUGCCAGUUGGGAUGAUGCUUAUAAUGCAUCAGAAUUUUGUGAACCGCUAUCGUUUUAGAGCACGUAAUUAAAUUCGGCAAAAUUG